GUAAAGAGGAGGCUGGGAGGAAGAGGCCUGCCGAGGGAGGCUUUGUCUUUUCAGCCAGAGUUUGACAAUUAGGCUUCAUCAUGUCACGAUGCGGUGCUACUGCUGACCCCAAAACACAACGCCGGAAGUGGUGCUCACUAGAGACUAUGUGUCAGAACUGUGACGCUGAAUCCGGAGCCCCAACCUCUCCUAGCCUCCUAGAGGAGGAUGACCCAGGACCCUUGUCCUCCCAACAGCAGGCCACCAGUUCAAGGGACAAGAAGCCCCUAAGCUCCCUCCACCUUUCACAUAGGGCCCAGGUGGCCUUGGAGUACCUGCCUUUCUUCUGCACCUAUGGGUGCCUCCUGGAAGAGGAGGGGUUGGUCCUGCAGCCCAAGACACCGCUCCAGGAGGACUCAGAACUGCUCAGUGGGUUCUUCCCUUACUACCGCUCUGAGGAGGAGAGUUUGCCCAGCCUGGCCCUUCCUGGCUGGUCACACAGGGGCUCCCAAGAUCUGCCCACUGAGAAGGAGGCACGGGCUGGCUGCUUCUGCAGGACAACAGUCAGGGACGAAUGCUCUCCUGACCCAAGCUCAGACAGAGGAAGCAGGAGCCACCUGAACAACUGAAGGGUGCAGACACCCAGAAGCUGGUUUUGUAAAUAAAUCGU
rnacentral:lncRNA from 1 species